rnacentral:rRNA from 1 species
UACGGAGGGUGCAAGAGUAACUCGGAAUCACUGGGCGUAAAGGGCGCGUAGGCGGCCUAGCAAGUCUGGUGUGAAAGACCAGGGCUCAACCCUGGAAGGGCACUGGAAACUGUUAGGCUUGAGUUCCGGAGAGGAGGGGGGAAUUCCCGGUGUAGCGGUGGAAUGCGUAGAUAUCGGGAGGAAUACCGGUGGCGAAGGCGCCCCUCUGGACGGAAUCUGACGCUGUGGCGCGAAAGCGUGGGGAGCAAACAUG